GCGGGAGGGGAAGAGGAGUAGACUACGGAAUCUCCAGUGGUCCGAACGCUGGCUGUCAAUUGCGUUGCAGAACCACGACUACCUCGGGUUGAUGAAGUGCCAAGCAGGCUUUGGAAAUACUGGAGCAUGGGUGGGAAACGCUGCCAACUCUGGAUCCCCAGCCCAGUGAAACGUCCAGCAAGCAGCCUUUCCAGGGCUGGCAGGAAAACGGUGCGAGGUUGAAAAUGCUGAUCAAUGUUGGGGUAGUAAUUGGAAAAUGAUCAUUUACCACUGAUAAUUUGAGAAACAUGGGUCUAGAGGAAUUCAACUUCUGAUAAACUUCAGCUACACAUGGAGAGAGCUACGGAAAAUGCAUACGUCUGUCUCUCUUUCCUCCUACACUUCGAUCUCUAUUUCUCCGUUGGACCAAACCCAAUCAGAAGACAGAGAAGGCAAGGUGAGGCUGUGUAUAGCUGGCCAGGGCAUUGAGUGGGGCAGAGAAAGGUAAAAAAUGGAUCUGGAGGAGCAAAGAAUAGGCUGUAGUCUGGGCUAUAUCAUUCAUUAACUGUGUGAUCUGUCUUGCCUGAGGGUUUCAGCCCCAGGCAAAUUUACUAUGGAUUCAGUGAGAUUGAGAAAUGACAAUAGAAUGUUCUUGGGGUAUAAGGGUUUAUACUGUGGAUAAAGUGAAGGUUCAUAUGGCCAGCAUCCUUACCUGAACCUAAACUACUUGAUGAUGUAACCGGCCUGUUGCUAGGCUACUACUUCCACACCCAUAGGCAAUUAGCUAUUAUCAACUGAGUCACUGUAUAAAGAGCUCUGCCCAGUAGCAGAGAUGAAGGAGAAUUACAGACCUGCAGACUGUUGGAUGCAGACGUAAUUCGGGUGCUCAACCUAAUGCUAGAAGAACAAGUGGGUAAUAAACCCUUUCACUCCAAGAACUUUCCAUUGUCAUUCACUGAAUCCAUAGUGAACUUGCCCCGGGGCUGAAAUCCAUUGGCAAGACAAUACCCAGCUUUAUUCUCACAGUGAUAGAUUAAGCACUAGAAUCAUGUCUGCAUCCAGCAGUCUGCAGGUCCAUUAUCCACCUCUGUCUCUGCCUCCACCCAGAGCACUGGCCAGAGCUCUUUAUAUAGUGACUUGAUCAAUAAUACUUCAUUGCCGAUGGGUGUAGAAGCAUUGGCCUAGCAGCAGGCCAAUUACAUCAUCAAGUAGUUUACGGUCAGGUGAGAAUCCUGGCUAUAGGAACUUCCAUUUUCCCCACAUCUUCCAAGAGUUACUUAAGUCUCAGUGCACCUCAGUUCCCCUCACCCCGUACAUCGGGGAGCCUUAGACCACUAUACACUUAUUCUACCACUGUCAAUUCACUUAAGCCAGAGACCCGACAUUCAUUCUUUAUUCUCUUCACUCCCAUUCCAUCCAGUCGGUCCCAAUCAUCUCACCUUCAUGAUGACAUCUACAUGUGGCACCUCGUCCCCAAUCCCACUGCCCUUCCUGAGCUGAGUUCCUCAGCAUUUGUCCACUGUCUUGGAACAGCCUUAUGGCUGGUCUUACUCUAUCCCAAUCCAUCCUCUAUAAUGACAAAUACAGAUUUGACUAAAUCACUCCCUAUCUUAGUAUAUAAUUUGAGAGUGAGCAUUUAGAAGCUACUUAAAUGUUUAAAAUCCUUGAGUGUUUUGUUUUGAUUUUGGCCUUUAGGUUAUAAAUGCUUUCUUACACUUCAUGCUUCCAGUAAUGCUCUUUUCCUCUGCUUGAAAUGCCUUGUUUGCCAGAUAAUUCUUUAUUCAUCUUUCAGAACUUGGGAAAUUUCCCAUGUCCACCUGUCUUCCCAAUGGGUUUCAGCCUCAGGCGAGUUUACUCUUGCUUCAGUGAGACAAAAAAUGACAAUGGGACGUUCUUGGGGUGAAAGUUUAUUUAUACCCAGCUUUAUUCUCACAGUGGCAGGUCAAGUGCUAGAAUCCUGUCCACCUCAGAGCAAGUCUGCACGUAGCAAGCAGGUCUCUGCCUCUGAGCCUUUCUGCCCCUGCAGCCAUCUCAGUCUCUGUCCUCAGGGCUGACGCCACUCCAGCCUCUGCUUUACUGCAGCCAUGCAGCCCAGAGCCCUGGGUGGAGCUCUUCAUCUAGAGUUAAUAAUAACGUAUUACCCACACAUUUGUAGUAAGCAAGCCAACCAGGGUCAGGUGAGAAUCCUGGCCAUAGGAACUUCUAUUUUCUCUACACCACUGUCUUGCCAAUGGGUUUCAGCCCCGGGCAAGUUCGCUAUGGAUUCAAUGUGACCAAAGAAAUUGACAGCAGAACAUUCAUGGGGUGAAAGGGAUACACCCAACUUUAUUUCCAGGUGGCAGGUCAGUCACUAAAAUCCCGUUCACUCAGAGUAAGUCUGAAUGCAGCAAGCUGGUCACUCCCCUUGCCCCUGGGCAACUCUGGCUGCACAGUCAUCCCACACAGCCGUCCUGUGGGCCUCUCUGCACAGUCAUCCCACACAGCCGUCCUCUGGGCCUCUGUCCUUGGUGCUGCCACCACUCCAGCCUCUGCUCUGCUCUCCUGCAGCCUUGCAGCCCUGCCACCAUGUCACGCCCAGAGCUCUGGGCAGAGCUCUUUUUAUAGAGUCAACAGCCACGUAUUGCCCACAGGUGUGCAGUGAGCCAGUCAACCAGGGCCAGGUGAGAAUCCUGGCCACAGGAACUCUCAUUUUAUCCACAACCACCACACCCAAUACAACCAAAGGGCUGCUAUAUGCUCUUACUGUAUACCUUACCACAUCACUUAUUCCUGCAUUAUAAUUAACCUUCCCUUUAGAAACUGUAAACCCCUUGAAGGAACUACAUCAUUUUCAUGGUUGUAUUUUCUUGUCUUAUAGUACAUGGACACAAAAAUGGGCACAAUAAGUGCUAUCUAUAUGUUGAAUCUAAAGAAGAUUUGUGAAUAACUGAGAAUUGGGAUGAUCUUUGAGUCUUCAUGGAAAUGGAAUUUUAACUAAGUCAUUUCUGAAUGAGAUGGCCAGAGAGGAGGGAAGAGAGUUCCCAGUUGGUAUAGCAAUUUGAGCCAAGGCAGAAAAUCUGGUGUCUUGCCAAUGGGUUUCAGCCCCGAGCAAGUUCGCUACGGAUUCAAUGUGACCAAAGAAGUUGACAGCAAAACAUUCUUUGUGGUGGAAGGGUUUAUUACCUGGCUUGUUGUCCCAGCAGUAGGUUGAGGACUAGUGUCUCUACCUCCACCAGAGCCCUGGGCCGAGCUCUCUAUAUAGCACAAUAAUAGCUUAUUGCAUAAAGGUGUGGAAGCAGUAGCCUAGCAACAGGCCAGUUACAUCAUCAGGUGGUUUAAGUUCAGUGAGGAUCCUGGCCAUGGGAACCCCAACUUCCCCACAUCUGGUAUGAUUAGUGAGUAAAUAAAUUUAAAUGUCAGAGCUAAAGAUAAGAUGGUUGAGGUCAGUUGAGGUCCUUUGCAAGAGAAUCUUGAAUUCCACAUUGAAUUUGUCUUGGAAACUGGGAGUGAACUGAAGAAUUGAGAUUGCAUAUUGAUCUUUUUGAAAGGAGAAUUACAUUAUAGAAAAGAUAUGUCAGGAAGAUUACUCUUCCUGUGUCUUACUGUGGUGUUUAUAAUUAAUUGAAAUAAAGGGAGACUAGAAGCAAAACAGUUGUUAAAAAAUUAUUAAAAUAAUUCCUAUGAGGUUAAGAGUAUGGAUUUGGAUUGUUGGCAGUGGAUAUAGAAAGGAAAAAGAUGAGAAGAAAUAUU